AUUGAACGCUGGCGGCAUGCCUUACACAUGCAAGUCGAACGGUAACAGGUCUUCGGAUGCUGACGAGUGGCGAACGGGUGAGUAAUACAUCGGAACGUGCCUAGUAGUGGGGGAUAACUACUCGAAAGAGUGGCUAAUACCGCAUGAGAUCUACGGAUGAAAGCAGGGGAUCGCAAGAACUUGUGCUACUAGAGCGGCCGAUGGCAGAUUAGGUAGUUGGUGGGAUAAAAGCUUACCAAGCCGACGAUCUGUAGCUGGUCUGAGAGGACGAUCAGACACACUGGGACUGAGACAUGGCCCAGCAUCCGACGGGAGGCAGCAGUGGGGAAUUUUGGACAAUGGGCGAAAGCCUGAUCCAGCAAUGCCUCGUGCAGGAUGAAGGCCUUCGGGUUGUAAACUGCUUUUGUACGGAACGAAAAGCCCCGGGUUAAUACCCUGGGUUCAUGACGGUACCGUAAGAAUAAGCACCGGCUAACUACGUGCCAGCCGCCGCAGUAA
rnacentral:rRNA from 1 species